rnacentral:rRNA from 1 species
UACUCGAGUGGCGAACGGGUGAGUAACACGUGGGUGAUCUGCCUUGCACUUCGGGAUAAGCCUGGGAAACUGGGUCUAAUACCGGAUAGGACCAUGCUUUAGUGUGUGUGGUGGAAAGUUUUUCGGUGCAAGGUGAGCCCGCGGCCUAUCAGCUUGUUGGUGGGGUAAUGGCCUACCAAGGCGACGACGGGUAGCCGGCCUGAGAGGGUGUACGGCCACAUUGGGACUGAGAUACGGCCCAG